rnacentral:rRNA from 1 species
CUACAAGGGUAUCUAAUCCUGUUUGCUCCCCAAACUGUCGUCCCUCAUCGUCAAGUAUUCUAUAGUUAGCUGCUUUCGCUUUCGGCGUUCCUUCCGAUAUCAACGCAUUUCACCGCUCCACCGGAAAUUCCACUAACCCCUAGAUACUUCCAGAAUUGCAGUAUCCAUUCCCUUUCUACGAUUGAGUCGUAGGAUUUGAAAACAGACUUACAAUUCAGACUACGGACACUUUACGCCCAGUAAAUCCGGAUAACGCUUGAGACCUACGUAUUACCGCGGCUGCUGGCAC